CCUACGGGCGGCAGCAGUGGGGAAUAUUGGACAAUGGGCGAAAGCCUGAUCCAGCCAUGCCGCGUGUGUGAAGAAGGCCUUCGGGUUGUAAAGCACUUUCAGUGGGGAAGAAAGCCUUGGGGCUAAUACCCUCGAGGAAGGACAUCACCCACAGAAGAAGCACCGGCUAACUCCGUGCCAGCAGCCGCGGUAAUACGGAGGGUGCGAGCGUUAAUCGGAAUUACUGGGCGUAAAGCGCGCGUAGGCGGUCUGAUAAGCCGGUUGGGAAAGCCCCGGGCUCAACCUGGGAACGGCAUCCGGAACUGUCAGGCUAGAGUGCAGGAGAGGAAGGUAGAAUUCCCGGUGUAGCGGUGAAAUGCGUAGAGAUCGGGAGGAAUACCAGUGGCGAAGGCGGCCUUCUGGACUGACACUGACGCUGAGGUGCGAAAGCGUGGGUAGCAAACAGGAUUAGAUACCCUAGUAGUC
rnacentral:rRNA from 1 species